UCUCCAUGCUUGAACAAUUCGGGCCCAUCUUUGUCAGACCACAUAUCAAACCCUCCAGGCUUUUGAAACCGAUCUGCCAAGACUCUCAAAUGCUCAUCAGCACUCACAGAGAAUAAAGUGGGUGCCUUUUCAACCACUUCCCAAGGUCUUUCAAGCUCAGAGACAGCAGCUUUCAGCUCAGCCCGCUUCCUCAUCUCAUAUAUUUGGCGUUCCCGAGCCAAUCGUGCCUUAAGGAGCUGCUUAGAUUUCUUGGCUUGCAUUCGCUUCCACUGCCACUUUGAGACGCCUCCAGGAUAGGUUCUUGGACCACCACCCAUCCUAAUUAUUGACUUUCUGUACGGAACAUCAAUUAUUGUAGUGGUGGUGGUUAGAUUAAGGGAAGAGAACUUGGUGGAAAGGAAAAGUUGGGAUUCCCCUGAAAUUGACUUGGAUGAAGACACACUGUGAUGGGGUGCUGAAACUAAGAACGAUGAGCUGAGGAGAGACAUAUUUCUUCCUGUAAACAGACGGUCCAGCAUAAUUUGAGUUGGAUUAAUGUUGUACACACAUGGGAGGAAAAUCCUAAACUUCAUGACGGAACAUGGAUAGAGAAUGCAAUUUAGAACGUGGAAAAUGAUACACAUUAUAUGUGAGCAUUUAAAUUACACCCACACCACCCUGGGGAGCAUGCUGAAAAUUAUGUGGCAUACAAUGGUUAAAUAUUAGUUAUUAUGGUGUAUUUAAUUUUGCACACCUUCAACACAACUGAAAAGAAAAUUUGCACACUCCUCACCAAAUUCCUGGUUCCGUCACUCCCCCCCCACCCCCAACCCACCCCGACACCCACCCCGACUUCAUCAUUAGUUUUGGAUUCUGAACUAAUGCCACUUCGACCAGACCUUUUAAAGUUACUUUGGCUCAAAACAUUUUAACUCGUUAUCAGACACUUUUUGCAGUAAUUACAUAAGAAAGACACUUUUUCCAUCGCCUAGAUCAGUUCAGUCCACAUCAUUUGUAUCUUAACAUCCAUCAAGCAACUAAAUUUCAAUCUCAGACUUAUUGCAUCAGUUACGUGAAUCCUCCACUUCAUUUUUCAUUAUAAUGGUGUAUAAUUUGGCUUUUGAAAAAAGUAGUAGUAGUCUAAAUUUCACAUAUAUGUAACCAAACUGACAAAAAGCUUCCUAGCAAUCACUGGACCUAUAACUGCAGUGUACUAAUUUAAAACAAAACAUUAGGGCUUUUGUAUUUUUUUUCUCAAUUAUUUGCUUAUAUCUUCAUUGUUAUUCCCACUAGGACACUAAUCAAACAGGAAAAAGGACAACAAUAUGGAAAUUCCAGACAUAAAAAAGCAAGCAUGUUAGGGGACAAAUUGCAAUUAAGAAAAGGAGAAAUUAAGGUCACCUGGAAGAACUACUUAUGAUGUGAAUAGUCGAUUGAACUUGGAUUCGCCGUUCAACUACAGCUCCGGUGGCAUCUUCUGUUCACUCACCUAUCCCUUUUUUGAUGAUAUCUAGAUAUUUUGAAACGCAGGUUUUUUAAUAUAUAGAAGUAAAAGACACAAAACUAUAGGGACGAGCAGCACCAGUGGUCUAGUGGUAGAAUAGUACCCUGCCACGGUACAGACCCAGGUUCGAUUCCCGGCUGGGGCAUCCCCUCCUUUUCUCUAGAAAUUCCUUUUGUGAUAAGCUACCAGUCUCGUGGGGGAGAGAUUUGAUUGACGAUUCUGUGAGGAGCGUCAAUUAACAAAUCUAGCGGAGAAGAGUUUUGAUUGAUGAGUCUCAUAACUCGUGAGAGUGAGACUGAGUGUGGAGGUGGUACAGGAUAUUCUUCCGCUGCUACCCUGUCGGGCUCUUUCAUAGUGCCCCUGUCUUUCCCAACAGUUCUUAGCACCAACUGUACCACACAUUCAAAAAUUGAUUAUACAUGACAUAAAAUUGUUAAAAGUUGAAAUAUUAUGGGUCUGUUUAGAUUAAUAUAGAUAAUGGGUCUUGUCUUUGUCUAUAUUUUUUGUCAUAUACCAAUUAUUGAUUUUCAAGAAUCGCAUGAGGCAGGGUGAUACUACAGGGUGUCUUUAUUAGAUUUGGCAGAAAAGAAAUACUACAGUUUUCCAAGGGAGUUAAAGAUUCAGCAGUGAUGAUAGACAAGUAAUCCGGGAUCUAAUGUGUAGGGAGAUAAUCAACCUAAAAUUAGGGAGGAAGUUAGACUCUCUUAAUAUUUAUCCUUUAGUUGUUGUUAAUUAGAGUGGGGAGGAAGAAGUGAUAGCAUAGUUUUUGGCUUUGGGGUCUUGACCACUGCCAAUUUACUUGGAGUUUUGAUUCUUGUACAGAAUGCUAUUUGGUAAAUAAAAUACUGCUUCUCAAAAAGAAUUUAAAAAAUAAAAGUUCACUGAAUGAAGAGACUAGUGAUGUGUCAACUGAUAAAAUAGCACUGCAUACCAUACCUCUUCCAUGUCUACAUACCGUGAACCAAUGAAUUGUACAAGUCAAUAUUCAGUUCAACAUCAUAGGCUAAGGGCCGUUUGGUCAAGGGAUAUCUCAUGUUUGGUUGGAGGUAUUAGCUAAAAUCAGUAUUAUUUUUAUACUAAAAACUUGAUAUAACUUAUCUCAUAUACAAGGUGGGAUUGAUUAUCCAGGUCAUAAUCCUGGUUUUAGUGCCAGGAUUGUAAUCCUGGAAUAUCCUGGUUUUGAACCAAACAACCCCGACAUUAGACAAGAAAACUUGUAAUAAUCAUUUCAGCACUCAAACAAACAAAGUGAACAGGAAAACAUAUAAACUUCAAGCAGAGAAUAACAUCAAGUCCUUUGGGCAGCAAACAUUUAUAUAUUGAUACUGAGAACUUACUUAACCAACAUAAAUGGAGGUCCCAAAUACCAAAUUUCAGAAAAUUAUCAUUUUCCCUCCUCUCACCCUUGAGGGAGAGGUGGGAUAGUAAUCAGGGAUUCUGUGGGCAAUCAUAAGCAAUUGUAACGUCAAAUUAUUGAUAAGUUGUAUAUCCUUUUGAAUCCUACAAGAGCCUCCACCCCGAGUUCACACUUCACGUACUCACAGUUCUUAUAAGUUUCUGAUCUAGAUUUAAUCAGUGAAUAGUAAAAGAUCCAAAAGUAUACAUAUGAACAAGGAUGAUUUGCACAUUCUUUUUACCAAAUUUGAGCUUGUCUACGACAGAACUCUUAAUUGUCUGGUUGAAGCUCAUAGCUCCCAUCGUUUUGCAAACCCAAUUCAAACACUGGAGAAUCUGAAUCAUCAAACAGGUCUGCCAGAUUAAACCUUCCAUGCUCUCCAUCACUAUCAGCUGGUGUAUGACUCUUAUUCUUUACUCUAGACAUGCCAGCUUCCGCUGAACUAAAUUUUUCAGCAUGGUUAGACAACUUCCUCCGAUUUGUGCUCUUCCGGAACUUAUUGUGAAUGUCCUUGCGAUUGUUGCCAUCUUUUGACACUUUAUUAGAAACUCCCAUAGUCAAAUAACCCUCAUUUCCUUCUCUAUUGGAUCCAGUUCUUAGUUUUGUUGAAUUUUGCUCACGUCUAUUACUCUUCAUUCUCACCUUCCUAUCACUUUCACUUUGAGAAUCUGAACCCAAAUUCGAGGACUCAUCAAAACCACCAACAUCAUUCUCAACGUUUCCAUAGGGUUUAAUGCUAUGAACAACCCCCUUAGGGAAAAAUCUUGCUGAGGGUAAUCCAUCUCCAUGCUUGAACAAUUCGGGCCCAUCUUUGUCAGACCACAUAUCAAACCCUCCAGGCUUUUGAAACCGAUCUGCCAAGACUCUCAAAUGCUCAUCAGCACUCACAGAGAAUAAAGUGGGUGCCUUUUCAACCACUUCCCAAGGUCUUUCAAGCUCAGAGACAGCAGCUUUCAGCUCAGCCCGCUUCCUCAUCUCAUAUAUUUGGCGUUCCCGAGCCAAUCGUGCCUUAAGGAGCUGCUUAGAUUUCUUGGCUUGCAUUCGCUUCCACUGCCACUUUGAGACGCCUCCAGGAUAGGUUCUUGGACCACCACCCAUCCUAAUUAUUGACUUUCUGUACGGAACAUCAAUUAUUGUAGUGGUGGUGGUUAGAUUAAGGGAAGAGAACCUGGUGGAAAGGAAAAAUUGGGAUUCCCCUGAAAUUGACUUGGAUGAAGACACACUGUGAUGGGGUGCUGAAACUAAGAACGAUGAGCUGAGGAGAGACAUAUUUCUUCCUGUAAACAGACGGUCCAGCAUAAUUUGAGUUGGAUUAAUGUUGUACACACAUGGGAGGAAAAUCCUAAACUUCAUGACGGAACAUGGAUAGAGAAUGCAAUUUAGAACGUGGAAAAUGAUACACAUUAUAUGUGAGCAUUUAAAUUACACCCACACCACCCUGGGGAGCAUGCUGAAAAUUAUGUGGCAUACAAUGGUUAAAUAUUAGUUAUUAUGGUGUAUUUAAUUUUGCACACCUUCAACACAACUGAAAAGAAAAUUUGCACACUCCUCACCAAAUUCCUGGU
rnacentral:lncRNA from 1 species